rnacentral:rRNA from 1 species
AGAGUUUGAUCAUGGCUCAGAUUGAACGCUGGCGGCAGGCCUAACACAUGCAAGUCGAGCGGAAACGAGUUAUCWGAACCUUCGGGGRACGAUAACGGCGUCGAGCGGCGGACGGGUGAGUAAUGCCUAGGAAAUUGCCCUGAUGUGGGGGAUAACCAUUGGAAACGAUGGCUAAUACCGCAUGAUGCCUACGGGCCAAAGAGGGGGACCUUCGGGCCUCUCGCGUCAGGAUAUGCCCGCGUCAGGAUAUGCCUAGGUGGGAUUAGCUAGUUGGUGAGGUAAGGGCUCACCAAGGCGACGAUCCCUAGCUGGUCUGAGAGGAUGAUCAGCCACACUGGAACUGAGACACGGUCCAGACUCCUACGGGAGGCAGCAGUGGGGAAUAUUGCACAAUGGGCGCAAGCCUGAUGCAGCCAUGCCGCGUGUGUGAAGAAGGCCUUCGGGUUGUAAAGCACUUUCAGUCGUGAGGAAGGUAGUGUAGUUAAUAGCUGCAUUAUUUGACGUUAGCGACAGAAGAAGCACCGGCUAACUCCGUGCCAGCAGCCGCGGUAAUACGGAGGGUGCGAGCGUUAAUCGGAAUUACUGGGCGUAAAGCGCAUGCAGGUGGUUUGUUAAGUCAGAUGUGAAAGCCCGGGGCUCAACCUCGGAAUUGCAUUUGAAACUGGCAGACUAGAGUACUGUAGAGGGGGGUAGAAUUUCAGGUGUAGCGGUGAAAUGCGUAGAGAUCUGAAGGAAUACCGGUGGCGAAGGCGGCCCCCUGGACAGAUACUGACACUCAGAUGCGAAAGCGUGGGGAGCAAACAGGAUUAGAUACCCUGGUAGUCCACGCCGUAAACGAUGUCUACUUGGAGGUUGUGGCCUUGAGCCGUGGCUUUCGGAGCUAACGCGUUAAGUAGACCGCCUGGGGAGUACGGUCGCAAGAUUAAAACUCAAAUGAAUUGACGGGGGCCCGCACAAGCGGUGGAGCAUGUGGUUUAAUUCGAUGCAACGCGAAGAACCUUACCUACUCUUGACAUCCAGAGAACUUUCCAGAGAUGGAUUGGUGCCUUCGGGAACUCUGAGACAGGUGCUGCAUGGCUGUCGUCAGCUCGUGUUGUGAAAUGUUGGGUUAAGUCCCGCAACGAGCGCAACCCUUAUCCUUGUUUGCCAGCGAGUAAUGUCGGGAACUCCAGGGAGACUGCCGGUGAUAAACCGGAGGAAGGUGGGGACGACGUCAAGUCAUCAUGGCCCUUACGAGUAGGGCUACACACGUGCUACAAUGGCGCAUACAGAGGGCAGCCAACUUGCGAAAGUGAGCGAAUCCCAAAAAGUGCGUCGUAGUCCGGAUUGGAGUCUGCAACUCGACUCCAUGAAGUCGGAAUCGCUAGUAAUCGUGGAUCAGAAUGCCACGGUGAAUACGUUCCCGGGCCUUGUACACACCGCCCGUCACACCAUGGGAGUGGGCUGCAAAAGAAGUAGGUAGUUUAACCUUCGGGGGGACGCUUACCACUUUGUGGUUCAUGACUGGGGUGAAGUCGUAACAAGGUAGCGCUAGGGGAACCUGGCGCUG